rnacentral:rRNA from 1 species
UAAAGAGCCGCGGUUUUUGACCGUGCAAAGGUACAUAAUCAUUAGUUUCUUAAUUAGAGGCUUGAAUGAAUGGUUUGACGAGAAAUUAACUGUCUCUUAAUAAAUCUUAGAAUUUAACUUUUAAGUUAAAAGGCUUAAAUAUUUCUUUAGGACGAGAAGACCCUAUAGAGCUUAAUAUUUAUUAAUUUUAUAUAUUUUUAGUUUAUCUUUUUAUAUAGAUUUUUUAAUAUUUGGUUGGGGUGACCAUGAAGAAUAAAUAAACUCUUCAUUAUUAAAUCAUUGAUUUAUGUUUAUUUGAUCCAUAAUUUAUGAUCAAAAGAUUAAGUUACCUUAGGGAUAACAGCGUAAUCAUUUUUGAGAGUUCAUAUCGACAAAAUGGGUUGCGACCUCGAUGUUGGAUUAAGAUUAAUUUUGGGUGUAGUA